GUUCCCAUUCCGAACACGGCCGUGAAACGCCCCAGCGCCGAUGGUACUUCGUCUUAAGACGCGGGAGAGUAGGUCGCUGCCAGGU
rnacentral:rRNA from 1 species